AAAGAAAGAAAGAAAGAAAGAAAGAAAGAAAGAAAGAAAAGAAAGAAAGAAAAGAAAGAGCAAUAAAAGGCAAUAAGGAGUUUGAGUGGCGAUGGAAAGCAGCACAGUAGAGUGUGAGCUAAUUAAAUCUGGAACCUCGCGAGGGGUAUAAGUAAGUACUUCAGAGUGAGAGAAAGUUCACUGGAACUAAUGAGGGAGGGUCCCUGGGCCCUGGAAAGAAGCUGGUUCCGGGAAAUUUCCACACUUGAGAAACUGGGGAAUCAUUAUUUUUCCAGCUGAAUGGCAAAUGAUUACAAUUCUAACUGUCUCAGUUUGGCUUCCCCGGUUAUUGGUUGACCCGGGGCUGCACUCAAGAAAGCUACGAGAGUGGAAGAUGAAGUGAAACCAGGAGAGGACAUAAAAUAUAAUUCAUGAAAGGAACUGGGUGUAAUUCAGAGGGAAGACAGUGGUUUCAAAGUCACAUUGUAGAGAGACAGAGACAAGCUGAUUUGGGGUUGGAACAGCAGACAUGUUCCCACCAAUGCAUUCCUAGCGCCUCCUAUGUGCACAUAGAUGUGCAUUGUGGGUCUGUCUUCACCGUUGCAAUUCUUGUGACCCAUCCAGGUUCAAAGGGCACGGUGGGAGAACUACUUACACUGCGUUCUGUCCCAUGGGAUUGUAAUUCUCUCUCUUUCCUCACCUCAUCUUGUCUAGUUUUCUUUAAGCCCUCUAACACAAUGCUUUGCAAACUGAAAUGUGCUUAUGAGUCACGUGGGAAAUCGUGUUAAAGUGCAGAUUCUUCUUUAGUAAGUCUGGGUUGAGGCCUGAGUUUCUGUAUUUCUAACAAGCCCCCAGCAGUUGUGGAUGCCCUCGUUGGAGAACCACACUUUGAGUAACGGGAUUCUAAAAAGUGAAAUCAUCCCAGCACCAGAGAACGAGGAUUAUGUCUUUCUCCCAAGCAUACACUUCUUUUUUGUUGCUACACCCCAUUCUCUGUAUGUUCUUACUUGUGGCUGAGGCUGAGGACAGGAUGGACAGCAGGUGCCACACCAAAUCCCAGGCCUGUUCCCAGUGCCUGUUUCUCCCCUGUUCUCCCCCUUUGCCUGCUCCCAUCUGGAUGGCUGGCCUUCCUUCCUCUCCAGAGGGAAUUCAGUGAAACAGCUGCUUCCUCCUCAUGUGUAUCAACCAGUGUUCUUAUAGAACGGUUAGAAUCUAGAGCUUGGAACCGAGCAUGAGAAAUCAGCUGGCCUAGCCUUCUACUCUCAGGUCUCUCUGCUCCAACUAGGCUCGCCUUGUUAUUUUGCAGAACAUUUUCCUCAAUUUUGCCUCAAGGCUUCUGCUUCUGCCUGAACUGGUCUACAGAGAAGAAAGUCUCAGAGACAAAGCAAAGCAUUCCUCUCUGGUCCUGGAAGGGAAAAGAACCGGAAAAGUAAAAGCCUUUGCUGUGAGACGAUUAUGAAGGAGUCAAUGAAGACAAAAAUGCUAGAAAGGCACUCUCGAAUGCCGUACUUGGCCCUGCUUCUGAAAGCUUUAAUCUCUACAGGUAAGUUUGGGAAGGGGCUUUAGGAAGCAAAAAUAGCAGUUUUCCACUGUAUUUAUUUGUUUUUGUUUAACAAACACGUAAGUAUGGCUAACUGGGUGCAAGGUGCUAUUCUAUUUGCUUCAUAAUCACCA